GGAACAGUGGUAAUUCCUACGAUUAAGAAACCUGUUUGCAGAAGGACUCGCACUACGCCAGUCAUUAAAAUUUUAUCAGGUGGGAAAUUCGGUGGAACACAGUGGAGCCUCGUCCUCCGGGUCAAUGUCUUAGACAAUGGCCCCUACUCCUGAGAGAAGAAAUAUACUGGGGAACCAGUCUUUACCGACCGUUGUUAUCAGAAAUAGUACGGAGCCUGGCCUAGGUCAGACUUCGAUGGGAACGGCAACGGUUGUUCCGUUUGACUUGUCGCCUGCUACGGCGUGCGUGUCAAGGUCUGUUGAGUGCAAUCGUAGGACGCCAUACCGGGCGAACCCGAUACCGAUUACUGCUGCUGUUCC
rnacentral:RNase_P_RNA from 20 species